rnacentral:rRNA from 1 species
UCCUACGGGGGGCAGCAGUGAGGAAUAUUGGUCAAUGGGCUUACGCCUGAACCAGCCAAGUCGCGUGAGGGAAGACUGCCCUAUGGGUUGUAAACCUCUUUUGUCAGGGAGCAAUUGGCGCUACGUGUAGCGUUAUCGAGAGUACCUGAAGAAAAAGCAUCGGCUAACUCCGUGCCAGCAGCCGCGGUAAUACGGAGGAUGCGAGCGUUAUCCGGAUUUAUUGGGUUUAAAGGGUGCGUAGGCGGAUCGUUAAGUCAGUGGUCAAAUUGAGGGGCUCAACCCCUUCCCGCCAUUGAAACUGGCGC